rnacentral:rRNA from 1 species
AUUGAACGCUGGCGGCAGGCCUAACACAUGCAAGUCGAGCGGAUGACGGGAGCUUGCUCCUUGAUUCAGCGGCGGACGGGUGAGUAAUGCCUAGGCAUCUGCCUGGUAGUGGGGGACAACGUUUCGAAAGGAACGCUAAUACCGCAUACGUCCUACGGGAGAAAGCAGGGGACCUUCGGGCCGUGCGCUAUACGCUGAGCCUAGGUCGGAUUAGCUAGUUGGUGAGGUAAUGGAUCACCAAGGCGACGAGCAGUAACUGGUCUGAGAGGAUGAUCAGUAACACUGGAACUGAGACACGGUCCAGACUCCUACGGGAGGCAGCAGUGGGGAAUAUUGGACAAUGGGCGAAAGCCUGAUCCAGCCAUGCCGCGUGUGUGAAGAAGGUCUUCGGAUUGUAAAGCACUUUAAGUUGGGAGGAAGGGCAGUAAGUUAAUACCUUGCUGUUUUGACGUCACCGACAGAAUAAGCACCGGCUAACUCUGUGCCAGAAGCCGCGGUAAAAC